rnacentral:rRNA from 1 species
UACAGAGGGUGCAAGCGUUAAUCGGAAUUACUGGGCGUAAAGCGCGCGUAGGCGGAUAUUUAAGUCGAGUGUGAAAUCCCCGGGCUCAACCUGGGAACUGCAUUCGAUACUGAAUGUCUAGAGUAUGAUAGAGGAGAGUGGAAUUCCCGGUGUAGCAGUGAAAUGCGUAGAUAUCGGGAGGAACACCAGUGGCGAAGGCGGCUUUCUGGAUCAAUACUGACGCUGAGGUGCGAAAGCGUGGGGAGCAAACAGG